rnacentral:misc_RNA from 1 species
AAGUGCCCCCUCUUCUUCGGAAGGUGACUGUGGACGAUCGCGAGCAGGACAGACACAAUCGUCGUUUUAGCAGCCUUUGUCGUUUGUUGUCUUAUAAGCGGGAGACUUGAACCAGUGCAUGAAGGCAUCCACCUAGCUUCAGGUCAGCUGAGGUCGUCGCCAUGGGAUCGCCGUACGAUAAAGAGCCCUGCUGUGGUAUCUCGCUGCUCAAGUACAUCUUGUUCAUCUUCAACUUUUUUCUCCUGCUAGGGGGCGCCGGAGUGACGGGCAUUGGGCUCUGGACCCUACUCAAGAAGUGGGACUACGCCAGCCUGCUCUGCGACGAUCUCUACACCAUUGCCACCUGGGUGCUGAUCAUCGUGGGCGGGAUUGUAAUCAUCAUCGCAGCGCUGGGCUGCUUCGGUGCCCAACAAGAGCAGAAAUGCUGCCUGCUGAUUUACUUUACACUUCUGCUACUGCUGUGCCUAGGGGAGCUUCUGGUCGGCAUCUAUACUUACAUCUACAGAGAUCGGGUUAACAUGGAGCUGGAGCGGUGCCUCAACAGCACGCUGGUGGCCAACUACGGCAUGCCUGACCAAGAGGAUUACUCCAAGGGUGUUGACAACCUACAGAGAAAGUUUUACUGCUGUGGUGCGUCUGGCUAUGCAGACUACCAGCAAAGCCUGUGGAAAGUAAAAGGGAAAGCUGGUAACCUGAGCUCGCCAGACAGCUGCUGCAAAACGGAGAGCAGCUACUGUGCCGUCCGGGACCAUCCUUCCAACAUCUACCAUUUGGGUUGCGUGGAUGGGCUGACCAACUACUUCAGUGGACACCUUGCUAUCAUCGGUGCGGUGUGCAUGGCGAUCGCAGGCGUGCAGAUAUUUGGGCUGGUCUUCUCCAUGUGUCUGUAUUGUCAUCUGAGAUAUGAAGAACAAGAGCCGUAUUAACCUGCAACGAAACGAGAAUGAAUCUUCAGGGGUGGGUCAGCGACAAUAGUCAGUCACAUUUCUUGUUCUCACUCCCCGACACUUGACCUGUCUUCUGCAGAAAUGCUAGAAGAUUCGGAUAUUGUUGGCGUAAACUUGCAGUCAGUUUGGGGGAAAUGAAGGUAGACAUUGCGUUGUAUUGGCCAGUCCAUUGUUUUGGUAAGCAUAUUGGCAUUGUAAAGUUUUCACGGUGAAGAGUGUUUGGAGAUAUGUGAAUGUAGAAUUUGUAUUCGUGCGGUGUUGUAAGACGUAGGCUUGAAUUAAGCCACAAAACCAGUGUGCACAGGAGGACGAGUCAUGGACAUGGCAGCAUUCGUGUUUGGUAAUCGCGCUUGUUUCUCCUAAACAAAGUUUUCAAAUCUCAAAUAAGGUUUUAGCAACAGGGAACCAAAAACACGGGGAAAAAAAAUCUGAGUCUUGCAACCAGUCUUCUUCAAGGGUGUUGUAAUUGUUACAGUAUUCAGACGGACAUGUGUGUAAAAAGUACAUACCUGCUGCAGUCUAAACCUGUAUAAAUGUUCUUGCAACUUUUGUAAGCUUGUUUUUUUAACUUCUAAGUACAUUUCAUCCCAGUAUGUAGAAGAAAAAAAAAUUGUGCAUGGAUGGAUGGCCAAAAGUGUGAGCCGAGUGUUGAACAUUAGCUUAGCCGAUUUAAGUAACCGUUUCAUAGAUUUUUUUGCUAAUUACUCAUACCUUUCAAAAAGGAUCGAGGAACAUUUUUUCUUUUUAACGAGUGGGUGCAGUUUUGUUUUCAGUUUGGUGCUAUCCAGUUCAUCUAACUUCCCUUAUGUUGAUUGAACUUGCGUCCUGCACUUUUAAUUUUAAUAGUGGUUACGUCGUCAUAGGAUUUGUGGUAGUGGUGUAGGAGACGUUCGACGCCCUCUUGUGGCGGCCUUUAGAGAAUCUCACAAGCUAGGUCUCUGCAGGCAAUCUGUAUUCUUAUUUCUACUGUUUUCAUGGGUCGAGUGUAGAAGGCAUGUCAGAGUGCCAAAUUGUAGGUGGCAUGCACACGUGUAGGUUCGCCUUUAACAAAGGGAGCACUUUUCAGGCAUGCAACUUGGACUUGGACAAAAAAAGGAGGAAAUAAUUCCAAUCUUUACGAGUCUCUGUACGGGUGUUUUUCAAUUUUCAUGGCGUGAUGUGAAGUGAAAAACAAGGAAAUCAGCUGAUCCGGGAAAAGUUGCAGGCCAGAUUUUUAGAAGACAUUUUAAGCGUGAUUUUUAACUGCCAUGCAACCUUGGUUUAUAUAAAUUUUGUAUCUCUAUUUAUUCAUGUUUUUCAGCCAUUAUUUUAUUCUUGGCAUUGAAAUGAUAAAUUUUAUAAUACUUAUGCCCUCUAGUAUACUCCUUACCAGUACUAACAGAUCAUCCUCCUUCAAAGAUUGCUUGGAUGGGUAGAAUUGCAUUGUUGGGUAUGUUCAGGUGCAAACUAUAGUUCGACCGGUGGUGAGUUGUUUUUUAACAGCGCGCAUGCGUAAUUCGGUUACACUCCAACAACCCUAGCCGGGCUAUUUUUUAAAAUUUCAUCAUUACAUUGCACCGUUGGCUGCAAUUCUCGAAGAAUAAAUGGUCGUGAAAUGGUUCCCUCAGUAAUGAUAAAUGAAAUUGGCUUUUGAUAACCAGUGGCGUGUCCAUGCCCUGGAGCCUGGUACCAAAUGGUGGACCAGAAAGUCCAAACCAUCCAGCAUUCAGGCGACGUUACUCCAACUAUAGUCAAUGAUAGUCGGCGCUCGAACUUGCCUAUAUAGAUAGUUUAUGUAGUGUGGAUUCUAGUUGUGAAACCAGGAAUUCCUGAGAAGUGCACUGCAACUGGAAGUUUGAAGGAUACCUAGAGAGAGAACACAAAGAAAUUUAGGCCGUUUAGAAGCUGGAGGAAAGCCUGGAAUGAUCCGGGGAGACCCAGCGCAUCAGGCAUGGACUGGAAACCCAAUCCACAUUUUGUCCUGGGCGGGAUUCGAACCAGGUCAGUGGUGGAAGGCGAGGACAAAACCACUGUCACAAACUUGGAUAUAAGGGCACAGGUUAAACCCCCUCCAAAAAAACAGUGAACAAAGUGAGAUCUUCGGUACAAGGGAAAGCACUAUGUACAUACAUGUACGUGCAAUCAUUGCAGUAAUUUUGGACUACUUGGUAUACGCACGCCGUUCUUUUCGAGGUUUGGAAGCUUUAGUCACUUGAGUGCAGGUCCGAAAGAUAUAUGCCUUGGCCGCAUUGUAGUUGCAUUUCUCAGAUGUCUAGGACGUGCAAGGACUCAUCCAAAUGUGAUUAUUGUGACUGACCUGUAACAGAUUGGCGUCACGCCUUGUUUACAUGUGUGCUUUCCUAUUUUCAGUAAGGCGUGACAUGAUGUGUCGAAGCAUAGGCAGGUGUACAUGUACAUGUCAAGAGAAUCUGUCUGACUAGGUCUGUCGUUUCAUCGCCUGCAGAUUAAGAGGCAAUGCUUAAGCUGCAAAAUGUUUAUACCAGCAAUGAGGCGAGCACACGUACAAACUCUUUCUAUUCAAAUCUGGCAGCCAUUUUGAUUCUUCAGUACUUCUUAAGGCGAUGAUUUUUCAGGGCUCCAUAUCCGGCAUUUUGUUAUACGUUCUUACUCUUCUCGGUGUUGAAUCUUGUCGACUUGUGCUUGCCUGCAAUAGCUCUUGUAUUUUGUACUUUGUACUAAUUAUUAAGAAAUGUAUAUUAUGCAACUCAGUUCUUAUUCUGUAAAUACCAGUUGAGUAGCGGUAAGUGAGGUGGAUGAUUUGAUGAGGAAAUGACGUUCUGUGGGGGCAGCCAUCUUGGAAUUGUCCCCGGAAGGUGCAGUGCAUGUCUAUGUGGAGAUUUCAUUGUGAGGUAAAUAGUUACGAAAAUAUAGCAAAUUUGGUAAGUUUGAAAGAGGCAAUUGAUGAUAUUUUCACACCUGUUCCCCUUCUGUUUAACGGCUUCCUUAUAGUUUGUAUUCAGAACUUACCCAUGUCACUGAUUUUUUAAAAUCAUUAUCUUGUUUAUUCUAAACAAUGCAUGUAAACAUAAUUUCAGGCAUUUUCGUACGAUCAUGUUCAGACAGCAAGUUAGCAAGAGCAAAGCAAACAAUAAAAUCAUUUUUGUACCAAAA